UGGCGGACGGGGGAGUAAUGUCUGGGAAACGUGCCUGAUGGAGGGGGAUAACUACUGGAACGGUAGCUAAUACCGCAUAACGUCGCAAGACCAAAGAGGGGACCUUCGGGCCUCUUGCCAUCGGAUGUGCCCAGAUGGGAUUAGCUAGUAGGUGGGGUAACGGCUCACCUAGGCGACGAUCCCUAGCUGGUCUGAGAGGAUGACCAGCCACACUGGAACUGAGACACGGUCCAG
rnacentral:rRNA from 1 species